rnacentral:tRNA from 1 species
UAUUGAAAAUGACAAUCAAUAUAAAGUACCAGUCAGACAGAUAUGGCUAGGAAGAUUGUUAUGACUAUUUG